AUGAGUAUGGACGAGCGUUCCCAAAAUAAGGCAAAAAUAUCUCCAGUCACAAGUGAAACUUAUGCAGAAGUGAGCAGCAGUGAAUGGGAUUUCAUAAAGAUGAAUGAACAAGAGGUGGAUCUCAUAUGCAGAAUGCACGAUUUAGUUGGAGAUAGAUGGAAUUUGAUAGCAGGCCGCAUUCCAGGUCGCAAAGCUGAAGAAAUUGAGAGAUUUUGGAUUAUGAGACAUGCUCAUCAUGCAAACAGAUAUCAUCAACGUAAAGCAAAUUGA